UACGUAGGGGGCAAGCGUUGUCCGGAAUCAUUGGGCGUAAAGAGCGUGUAGGCGGCCCGGUAAGUCCGCUGUGAAAGUCGAGGGCUCAACCCUCGAAUGCCGGCGGAUACUGUCGGGCUAGAGUCCGGAAGAGGCGAGUGGAAUUCCUGGUGUAGCGGUGAAAUGCGCAGAUAUCAGGAGGAACACCUACGGCGAAGGCAGCUCGCUGGGACGGUACUGACGCUGAGACGCGAAAGCGUGGGGGAGCAAACAGG
rnacentral:rRNA from 1 species